GCAGGCGGAAGCUAGAUGGUAAAGCUCGAAUGGACAGCAAUUCGGUUAGCAGGUUCGAUUCCUGCCGCCUGCGA
rnacentral:tRNA from 1 species